rnacentral:rRNA from 1 species
GGGGGGGGGCAAGCGUUGUUCGGAAUUACUGGGCGUAAAGGGCGCGUAGGCGGGCAGGAAAGUCUCUCGUGAAAUCCCACGGGCUCAACCGUGGAAUUGCGGGAGAUACUACUUGUCUUGAGUUCGGGAGAGGAGUGUGGAAUUCCCAGUGUAGCGGUGAAAUGCGUAGAUAUUGGGAGGAACACCGGUGGCGAAGGCGGCACUCUGGACCGAUACUGACGCUGAGGCGCGAAAGCUAGGGGAGCAAACGGGAUUAGAUACCCCGGUAGUCCUAGCUGUAAACGCUGAGCACUUGGUGUAGCGGGUAUCGACCCCUGCUGUGCCGAAGCUAACGCAUUAAGUGCUCCGCCUGGGGAGUACGGUCGCAAAGGCUG